rnacentral:rRNA from 1 species
GACAGAGGGGGCAAGCGUUGCUCGGAAUCACUGGGCGUAAGGGGGGGUAGGCGGGAUGGCAAGGCGGUCGGGAAAUCCUUCGGCCCAACCGAAGAACGUCGGCCGAUACUGCCGUUCUUGAGGGAUGCAGAGGAGACUGGAAUUCCCGGUGUAGCGGUGAAAUGUGUAGAGAUCGGGAGGAACACCGGUGGCGAAGGCGGGUCUCUGGGCAUUUCCUGACGCUGAGGCGCGAAAGCGUGGGGAGCAAACGGG